rnacentral:rRNA from 1 species
AUGGGCGAAAGCCUGAUGCAGCGACGCCGCGUGAGGGACGACGGCCUUCGGGUUGUAAACCUCUUUCAGCAGGGACGAAGCGCAAGUGACGGUACCUGCAGAAGAAGCACCGGCUAACUACGUGCCAGCAGCCGCGGUAAUACGUAGGGUGCAAGCGUUGUCCGGAAUUACUGGGCGUAAAGAGUUCGUAGGCGGUUUGUCACGUCGUUUGUGAAAACUCACAGCUCAACUGUGAGCCUGCAGGCGAUACGGGCAGACUUGAGUACUGCAGGGGAGACUGGAAUUCCUGGUGUAGCGGUGAAAUGCGCAGAUAUCAGGAGGAACACCGGUGGCGAAGGCGGGUCUCUGGGCAGUAACUGACGCUGAGGAACGAAAGCGUGGGUAGCGAACAGGAUUAGAUACCCUGGUAGUCCACGCCGUAAACGGUGGGCGCUAGGUGUGGGUUCCUUCCACGGAAUCCGUGCCGUAGCUAACGCAUUAAGCGCCCCGCCUGGGGAGUACGGCCGCAAGGCUAAAACUCAAAGGAAUUGACGGG